AUGGGUUGGAGUUGUAUCAUGUUCUUUCUGGUAGCAACAGCUACAGGUGUGUACUCCCAGGUCCAGCUGCAGCAGUCUGGGGCUGAGCUGGUGAGGUCUGGGUUCUCAGUGAAGAUUUCCUGCAAGGCUUCUGGCUACACAUUUACUGAUUAUGUUAUGCACUGGGUGAAGCAGAGUCAUGCAAAGAGUCUAGAGUGGAUUGGAGUUAUUAAUACUUACAAUGGUGAUACUAGCUACAACCAGAAGUUCAAGGGCAAGGCCACAAUGACUGUAGACAAAUCCUCCAGCACAGCCUAUAUGGAACUUGCCAGAUUGAGUACAAGUAGCCUAGAUCUUGAAGUCAGCAGAGAAAAAUAG